AUGGUUUCAGAUGAGGGCCACAAUUAUGCUCUGGAGGUUGUCAUGGGGAAGGAUGCUGCUCAGUCUUUCUCUUUUCUUUUUACUGGAGUUGGCAUGAAAAUGGAUUAUUCUAAGCCGUCUCCCUGUCUUGCUGUCCUGUUUGUCAGGUUCCUGCAGUCACAUUCCCUGCUUUUUUCAUUUUCAGUUUUCAUAAACUGCGCUCCUUUUCCUUGGGUUCUGGUGAUUAAUUGUGAUGACAAGUGGAAAUAUUCCAAAAUAAAUCUAUCCUCAUGGCCCUCUGCAAAGUCCACUGCGAGAGCUCUGCGCAGCCUUACCGGUUCGGAGGGAGGUGGGGAAGCACAAGAUUUAUGUCAGAGCAGCUUUCACGUGGCACCCUGUAAUGCUGCAGUUGUUUGGGUAGGGGCUGUGUUUUCCCAUAAGGAGCAAAUAAUUUUCAUUCAACCCAGGAAACUAAAGGAAACCAGGAGGAAGUCCUGCUUGUCAGGGGCUCCAUGGAUGUGCAGAGACCAGCGGGCGCUCCAAAGCUGGGCACUGACAGAGCAGAGGUGGGGUCACAGCCGGAAUUGCUCAUGUGCUGAAGCUGCCUCUCUGCCUGCAUCCCAGCUCACUGUGUCUGAUCCCAGAGGGGCAAGAAGCCCGGCUGUGGACAAGAGCAAACUGCAGCCACCUCCAUCUCCAUCAGCUCGGUGUAGGAGGGAGGUUUGGCAGGGUGGGCUGUGGCAGUACUGAAGCACAGAUAAUGCCCCGGCAGCUUUUCGGGGCUUUCCAGCAGUUUUCGUUUUAUCCCAGCAGAGUGAAAGAUGAAAAUGAACUCUAAGGACCACUUCUUCCUGCAGGGAGAUACAGACAGGCAGAUCCUUCUGCUGAGAUGCCCUUCAGCCCUGCUCCUGAGGUGCUGUGCCACUGAGCUGGCUGGAUUUUUGGCUCUCCAAGUAAAAGAAAGGAAACAAAUUAAGAGAAAACAACAAAGAGGGAUGAAGAGGGAGAGUCUAGAUUUGAACCAAUAUGAAACCCAGGAGUUGGCGUGCAGCCCAGUAAAUAUUGGAAUGACAUUACCUGAGCUUAAAAAAAAGAAUCGACAAAUUGUUAAGCUUAAUUUGUAUCCGUAGUGGAACUGGGGAGCAGACACCAUGGAAAUAUCAUUAUUUGUUUUAAUCAUUUUCUUUGGUAACAGAAUCAGAAGGAAACAGCUCUGGAGAGACUCUUGUUAUAUUUUCUCUCCCUCCAUCUUUUCUUUCUGAUUCCCUCCACUGUUCCCAGCUCUGUCAAGACUGUGACAAACUUAAUUACCAGCAAACAGUAGGAAGUCCAGAUGACAUAUCACUUUUUUUUUUUUCUUUUGACUUCAUAAAGGCUUUCUAGUCUUUAAUCUAAAGUGAGUAAGGACAGGGGCCAGAUGGUGCUGGUCUCCAAGAACGGCAGCAUCUGAAUCCUUGAGAUCUUCUUUAGAGUCAGAAAGCCAAAGAUGUGGAUAACUAAAACUUCCUGGGGCUGCGUGUUUCAGGGCUGGAGUUUCAGAAAACAUGGUUGUGGUCCUGGGCAAACCGCUCCAGGUGUCCCUGCCUGAGCAGGGCAGUUGGACCAGACGUUCUCCAGAAGUGCCUCCCAUCCUCAACCAUUUUGCAGUUCCAGGAGGGCCAGAUUUGCAGAGCAUCCCCACUCCUGUCUGGGGGGUUGUCACUCUUCUGGUGAAAGAGGACUAAUUGCACUAAUUGCAGGAGCGCUCACA
rnacentral:lncRNA from 1 species